GCCACGAAUGGAGGAUUUCCUGGCGGCCAGGACAUGAUAGCGUGGAGAUUGUAAAAGAAAAAAAAAAAUAGGCGGGUGGAGAAAAAUGGCGGACUACAAGCCUACAUCCUUCCUACUACCCACAGGAACCCAAAUUUUAAAAACUAUCUGCACACAGAAAAGCACCAUCAUAAGAACCAAAAAUCAGGGUAACUGUGGAAGCUGACAGACAUAAGCCGAAGAAGAAAAUGAUUGGCAUCACUGAAAAUGGGUGCCUGGUAAGGUUCAUGGUUAAGAGAUGUGGUGCAGCUGUUCUUUUAUCUCCUACUCAGAGUGGAAAUAGCCUUACCAGAGCAAGGCACAGUGAACAAUAGAAGUAAUAUUUUUAAAAAAUGUGCCUCUGCAAAGGAUUGAUCAGUGGCUUAACAAAGAUUGACAUCAGCGUGACAUUCUCUGCAACAAUGCACAAGGCUGCACAGAAAAAUCUUCCCUAUUUACAAGCACAGUCAACCUUUCAUCUCUGAUUUCCCCUGAAGACCGCAGUGACCCUCUUAAAAUAUACUGCAGGGG
rnacentral:lncRNA from 10 species